UAGGCGGGGGCCGGCAACGUUACUUUGAACAAAUUAAAGUGCUUAAAGCAGGCUAAAUUGCGCUCGCAUACACGCGCAUGGAAUAAUCGAAUAGGACCUCCGUUCUAUUUUGUUGGGUUUUUGUGGAACGACAGACGGAGGUAAUGAUCAAUGGGUGCGGAUGGGGGCAUUCGUAUUGCGACGUUAGAGGUGAAAUUCUUGGAUCGUCGCAAGACGGACUUAAGCGAAAGCAUUUGCCAAAAACGCUUUCAUCGAUCAAGAACGAAAGUUAGAGGUUCGAAGGCGAUCAGAUACCGCCCUAGUUCUAACCAUAAACUAUGCCAGCUAGCGAUCCGCCGAAGUUACUUCUAUGACUCGGCGGGCAGCUUCCGGGAAACCAAAGCUUUCGGGUUCCGGGGGAAGUAUGGUUGCAAAGCUGAAACUUAAAGGAAUUGACGGAAGGGCACCACCAGGAGUGGAGCCUGCGGCUUAAUUUGACUCAACACGGGAAACCUCACCAGGCCCGGACACCGGAAGGAUUGACAGAUUGAGAGCUCUUUCUUGAUUCGGUGGGUGGUGGUGCAUGGCCGUUCUUAGUUGGUGGAGCGAUUUGUCUGGUUAAU
rnacentral:rRNA from 1 species